ACACCGAAGUCAAGCAUCAUUGGGCGCAGUCAGUACUUGGGUGGGUGAUCACCUGGGAACACCGCGUGCCGUU
rnacentral:rRNA from 1 species